GGCUGGUCCAAUGGUAGUGGGUUAUCAGAACUUAUUAACAUUAGUUUCACUAAAGCUGGUAUACAAUCCCCACUGCUAAAUUUGACUGGCUUUAA
rnacentral:Y_RNA from 1 species